GAUGAAGAACGUAGCGAAAUGCGAUAAGUAAUGUGAAUUGCAGAAUUCAGUGAAUCAUCGAAUCUUUGAACGCACCUUGCGCCCUUUGGACAUUCCGAAGGGCAUGCCUGUUUGAGUAUCAUGAACACCUCAACUCUCACGGCUUGUCCGUGAUGAGCUUGGACUUUGGGGGUCUUGCCGGCCUGUGGUCGGCUCCUCUCAAAUGGAUCAGCUUGCCAGUGUUUGGUGGCAUCACAGGUGUGAUAACUAUCUGCGCUUGUGGUUUUCCAUCAGAUAACCUUCAGUGAUAUGGAGGUUCGCUGGAGCUCACAAAUGUCUCUCCUUAGUGAGGACAGCUCUUUGAACGUUUGAUCUCAAAUCAGGUAGGACUACCCGCUGAACUUAAGCAUAUCAAAGCGGAGGA
rnacentral:misc_RNA from 1 species